UGCUUUGCGCAGUGGCAGUAUCGUAGCCCAUGAGGUUUAAACGAGGCGCGAUUAUUGCUAGUUGAAAACUUUACCCAAGAUGUAAUGAACCAAUCAGUUGUUGAAUGAUUGUUACAUGAUAACACG
rnacentral:snRNA from 1 species